rnacentral:rRNA from 1 species
GACGAACGCUGGCGGCGUGCUUAACACAUGCAAGUCGAACGGAAAGGCCCUGCUUGCAGAGUACUCGAGUGGCGAACGGGUGAGUAACACGUGGGUGAUCUGCCCUGCACUUCGGGAUAAGCCUGGGAAACUGGGUCUAAUACCGGAUAGGAGCCAUUUUUAGUGUGAUGGUUGGAAAGUUUUUUCGGUGUAGGAUGAGCUCGCGGCCUAUCAGCUUGUUGGUGGGGUAAUGGCCUACCAAGGCGGCGACGGGUAGCCGGCCUGAGAGGGUGGACGGCCACAUUGGGACUGAGAUACGGCCCAGACUCCUACGGGAGGCAGCAGUGGGGAAUAUUGCACAAUGGGCGCAAGCCUGAUGCAGCGACGCCGCGUGGGGGAUGACGGCCUUCGGGUUGUAAACUCCUUUCGCUAGGGACGAAGCUUUUGUGACGGUACCUAGAUAAGAAGCACCGGCUAACUACGUG